UAUUCACUGUGCUGAUAAAGUGUGAGAGACAUUUUGUGUGUAUGUGUGUUUGUGUGUGUAUGUGUGUGUGUCCUGUAUGAGAAACUCCUCAAGGAAACAACACAGAAGGUGUAACUGCUGUUCCUCACACUGACCCAAGAAGGUGCUGUUCUUCCUCCUCCCCCUCGAUGCUAGCUGCCUGUAACAGCAACUCCAUGUGGAAUGUGUGUAUGUGAAAUCCAGUGGAGUUGCUGUUACUUGCAGAGAGUCACCUCUGACCCUUGACCCCAGAACAUACACUGUGAUCUUCAGCUGAUCUACAGUUUAAUGACUCUAUACAGCCUAUAUUGUGUGCUAAAGGCUAAAUGCUCAGUCUCUUUGCAGCGUAUGUGAACAUUAUUGUUAGUAGUGAAGUGUGCUGUUCUGUGAUGGCUUUGUGAUUUCCUAAACUCACUCUGUUAUUAACAGUAUGUGUAUUGGAGCAGCAUAACCAAUCACAACCACUCUGUAUAUACAUUUGUGUCUCUCUGCAUAAAUUUACAAAUUAAUAAGCAAAUACUGCUGAUUGGCCGGCAGGGUAAUGACCUAUGAAUUGACAGCCAGUUUUUUCAUUCAGGCUGCCUGUCAGUUCUGUAGGCCACUGCCCCACCUACCCCACGCCCACCUCCCAUACCCCCACCGCACCCACCAACCACGCCUGCCCUCCAUCACAUACAUACAUAUAAACACAAAGAUUAAAGAAGUGUGUGAUCAUGA